UGGAGUAACAGCCAAAGGAUCCGCUAAAAAAGUACUCUUAUUUCACCGGAUUUGAGGUGCAUCUACCUGAAAUGUACCUCUUCAAUCCGCGAACUCCCAAAAAAGUCAGUGACUUGUCGCCAGCUUGACAGCUUGUGGUCGUGGGGUAAAAGAUUCUGAAACGCCGACGGUCCGCUGAGUCAGCAUGUGAGAGAAGAUCCAAAUUUCCGAAUGGAUAAGCCAUUGGAAGCAAUUUGUUAACCCAAUCGAGCUAACCCUGGUUAACCAACUAUCUAUAAAUAUUUUUACCCAUCUGGCUACUUCUCCAACACAAAGCAAACACAACAACAAACAAUCAACUGUCUUUCACACAUCAGAACAAUGGCUUCCACAUCUUCUGCAUUCGCCUGUUUCGGCUCCUCCUCUGCUCAUUUCAUGGGCCACAAAGUUUCAAUCAAGGAACCCAGUUCCGUGCCGACAAGUGUCCAAUUCCGGCCACUCCGUGUCUCCGCCGCUUGUGCAUCGACGGCUGAGAGACCGGUUUCCCACAUUGCUUCUCCAGCGUCACUGUACGAGGUCUUGGGGAUCCAGAUGGGCGCCACUUGUCAGGAAAUAAAGGCUGCUUACCGGAGACUGGCGCGAGUCCUGCAUCCCGACGUCUCAUCUAGCGGUCAAAAUAACGCCACCGCACACGAGUUCAUCAAAGUACAUGAAGCUUACGCCACGCUGUCUGAUCCCGAGAAACGCGCCGAUUACGAUCGGACGUUGUUGUUCAGACCGAGACGAUCCUUCGCCGUGUCAGCGUCCGCCGCAUCUAUGGCCAGCCCCACGUCUUCUGGAUUUUCUGGUUACACGAGGGGAAGCUGGGAAACUGAUCAAUGUUGGUGACACUUUGGACAAAUCACGAAGUUCAGGACUGGAUUUUUUAGUUGUGUAGAUUUCAGAGUGAUGAUUGGAAACUUUGCCCCCUGAUUUUCAUUGUUUUGGGCCUUUUGGUUUUUGGGGAGAACUGAUAACUGCUAACACUCCUGUCUGUAAAUAGAAAAAUAUUUAAACUAAAACAGGCGGCUUUUUUAUAGCCUGAGUUUGUAAAGUUUGGAUUUUCUUAUAUCAUUCAUGGAUUCAGUGUUCUGUUUCUUUAGUUUUAUGGUUUCAGUGUCAGAAAUCUUAGGAUUGAAUAAUAAAUACUACCAAUCUGUUAGUUAAAGCUGAGUUGCGUAGAUACCACUCAGAUUAGAUUGGGGAUUUUUAUUAGGCAAAUGCAAAGUUCUCAAGACGUCGAGACCAGAAAUCAAGUUGAAUACCAGUUUCAUAGUCCGAUCGCAGACUUCAAAUGUAACUAAAAGGGAUGAUAUAUUGUUGCUUCACUCAUCGUUUCAUUAUGGUUAGCAUGUGCAGAAUGGAAUUUAUGGAUAAGAUCUACGGAAUUAGGCGAAACUUAAUGCAAUUAUUGGCCUGCCAAUGGGAAAAUUUCAGGACUUGGGACCAAAAAAAAAAAAAACCCAAGACGAAGAAGAAAACACAAAUCCUGUGCACUCUGUUUCGUGAGGGCGGAUUCAGAUAAGCCAGAAAAAGUGAUCUAAUUGGAAACUCCGAUAACAUUCACUGAUCAAUCAAACUGCCACAUAAAAGGAAGGAAAUGUUUAUUCCUUUGAUUCCAAAUGACUCGUUACAAUCAUAGAGACUCAAAUGUGUAUGUUACGAUUAUUCUUUGUCCAGGAUAAACGCAACAGCUCAGCAAAAAAUCGAAAAAGUCUCCAAAGUAUAGUGGGAUAAUACAAGUCAAUGCUUAUCUAAUUUCAUGAUCGAACGGCCACACUGCAAAAAGCAUUGGACCUAGAGGAAGACUACGUGUUGUCAGCUUAUCAUCAAUGCAGAUUUAGGAUUCCUUUAUCUUUCGGAAACCUCAAAGGAUGACACCUUUUUUGAUGUUGAGUUUCAUUUCUCAAGACCCAAAAGGGCGAACAAAAAGAUGGAUGAGAUAAAAAUUACUACUAAUUUCAUCUAGCAUUUGGUGUAUGUAUGAUGCCAAUGAUAGCUUUUCUGUUGUGUUGUGUAAGGGUAUUUUCAGAAAUAAUAAUAAUAGAAAAAAAACAACUACCGUUAUUUAUCUCAUCUCUAUUCUAUUAUUUGAGAUCUACCAAAUAAAUAAAAUAAAGGGAUAUGAAUAAUUCAACGUAAUCAUUUUUCUUUUAUUAUAGUAAAUAUCCUUUUAAUUAAUCUAACGCUAACGCACCUGGUACAGGACAGAAUAACCAAAGUUUUAUUUAUUUGCUUCAUAAAAAAUACCAACAUUCUAGAACGACUUACCAAUUAUAUCCAUGAAAGGGAAACAAGUUCUAUUAUUUACAAUUCCCUUGAAAUAGCUCAAAUGUUGGACUUUAAUCUAAUUUUCACAGCCCAAGGAUAAUGCCAGAGCUUGUUUGCUUGUUUAAUUGAAUUGGACCAAACUUCAAGCACGCUUUUGAAAGCUGCUUUAACACAAAGCCCUUAAUUGGGCCUAAGUCACGGGCUCCAGUGAAAGGGAAAAACGUCUCCCAUCAAAUAUGAUGACCAAGGCAUUAGAGUUUAGGAAUACUUUUUCUACCAGAAAAGUGCUUUAGGCGCCGCAUGCUUGAAUAUAAAAAGGGAGUUGUUAGGGUAUUUUUUUUUGUUUUCUUCACCACUAACGCCCUUUGUUGCAACAUCCUUAACCCGAUUUCUUGAUAGUGGUGAGUGAUGAGUCUCAAGGACGAGUUGCCUCCUUCAAACCUCGCCGAGGUAUAUGCUUUCAUUGUACUAGUUUUUUUUAGUUUCAUCUUUCUUUAUACGAUCUUUCUAUUUAGCUUUGUCCAGAUAUAUAUUUUUUAAGCUUUAUCUCUCUUUAUACUUCAAUUUUGUAUUUUAGAUUUAGAUUCUUGUUUUAAAUUUGAUAUAAAUAUAUAUACUAAUUAUCCAAUCCUAAUCGUUUGUAUAUUUUUUAUUUUUAUGAUUGUUGUAAGUCAAUGAUAAUAUGAUUACAAUUUUUGUUAGUAACAAAUAUUUUCUUUUUUGAAAUUUUUAGGGUACCAUUAAAGAGUUGGUUUAUUCACGAUUUGGUAGAAUUAAUUGAUAAACUCUUCAAUUUUAUAAAAUUUGUAACUUUUAUUUUAUUUCUAACUUUUUAAUAGAAUUCAACAUUUGUUAUUUUUUUACAGGAUAAGCUGAGCGGAUGUUCUUCCAAUCCUCCAUCCUUAAUUAAACAAAAUAUUUUGAAUUUUAAAAAAGAUGUAGAAGCAAUAACUUGGAAUUGAAUGGUUUUUAUUACUCAUACUUUGGCUGCAUUCAGUCUUAUUUGCAACAACUUGGAAGGGUAUAGUCGAUGCUCGAUUAAUCAUCUGUCACGUUAUUUCUAUUGUCAGUCUUUGGGGAACUAGUUUUUUGGGAUUAAAUGAUUUAAGUGGAUGGUGGUUACUUGUCUUUCUCGAGAAGGAAUCUUUGAAUGGAGAUGAAGAGGACAUAGAAAUUGCAGCUCCAAUCUGGUUUCCUAUCAUUCCCGGUGCAGCAUGUUGUUUAUUUUUGCUUUUAGCUAGAAUAAUCUGUUGGCCCAUUAAUAACUAUGUGGUGAAGCCUAAAUCUGAAGAUUUACCUACGCUCGUAGGUCUCUACUGGCUUGGUUUUAGCCUUUUGAUCCUCUUGGCUUUUGUUUUUGCCUUUGUCACGAUAAUCAGUUGUGCAACUGCAGCAGCUACUCCGACUUCAGAUCUCGAGAUGAGUGUUGAUCAACCUGCUUCUUGUACCGGUACAAACCAUGGAAGAGAAAGGAAAAUGAAAAGAUUCAAUAUUCUUAAAAUUAAUUAUGGGCUACUUGUACGAGUUUUGUUAUUGUUUUGUCUCUUGCCAUUUAGAAAUCGAUCUUAAAGAGUUAUUUACUUCAGUUUUUAUGUGGAUCAUAACUUUAUAUUAUUGUCUUUAUUAGUUUGUUAUUUAUAGGCAGUAAUGAGUCAAACUUGCUUAGAAUAAUUUUGUGAAAUACUUUUGUGUUAAUUAAUAGUUACUAAUUUUUUGCUCUUGUUUGGUAAAAAAGCUUGUAAAAUUGUCUUUAAUAUUCAGUACAAAUCUAUAAAGAAUAGAUUAAAAAUAAUAUUCAGAAUAUCUUCUAAACCUUUUUUUAAACAGAGUCUCUAACUUUAACACUUCGAAUUUUCAAUUAGUUCUAUCAAUUUUAUUUUAUUUUUUGAAAGAGUUUUAUCAAUUUUAUUAUAUAAUGUGACGAUGCUCGUGAAAUUCUUGUCCUCGCCCAUUAACAAUAUAAAAGUUGGAGUUGCCCACUAACAACUCUAUGGUCUAGUGUGCCCUGACCGGCUGACCCAACUCAGGCUAUUUCCUUGAAUGAGCUCAUUCCUGGGUAUUACCUAACUCAAGCUAUUGCCCUGACAGGCUGACCAAUUCAGGCCCCAACCUUUCUAAGAAAGAAACGCGGGACCCCAAAUUUUUUAGGCUCAAUUAGCGUGAUAGGAACAUUGUGUUCAAGGCACACUUGCAUCCUAUAUAAUUAGGAUUAAAAAACUUUUAUAAUUGCAUUAGUUAAAUAUUAUUUAAAAGAUUAAUCAGAUGAAUCAAAAUUUGAAUAUUAAUUAUUUAACUGGUUAAUCGAAUUAGAUUGUUUAAUUCGAUUACUAAUUGAAUUAACUAAAUUUUUUGGACUCAAGUCCAUUUUUUUAUAUAUAUAUUCUUUCUAUACCAGUUACAAAAUAAAUACAGUUACAUUAUGAAAUUUUAACAACACCCUAAACCAUAUAAUAUUAAAAUAUGCUAACAAACAUGAUUAAAAAUAUUAAAAUGUUUUAACAAGUAUGAAAAAAAGUUAUCCAUCCAGAUUCAAUUAUCCAACGCGCCAAAACAAGCCUAAUUGUUAGUUUUCGAACUCAUUGGUUUUUUCUGUUUUGCACAUUUCUAAGAUUUGGGCUGAUGAAUCCAGCACAAGACGUGACAAAUAAAUAUGCUUGGAUUGCUUUUUAGCCACGGUUUGCUACUAGUGGAAGGUGAUAGUUCACAUGUUUUUAAGCUUUUCCUAUAGCCCACAGUUACCAUACGACUUCGUGUCUCCCAUUCAUUUCAUGUCAAACAGGACCACCAUGGCAGUUGGCAACUAGUACUAAAUGUUUCCAUAUUUCUAGUACUUUUUUUGUCUCUUUGCUUAAUAAUUGAAAUAUCCUUAGCGCGUUCACAUGUACAGGGAAAUUAGGGGAGAGCGGAAAAUAAAUCUGACUUCAUGUCCGCUUCAUGCAUUAACCUUUCCAGAAGAUUUAAUUUUCCAUUCAUUAUAGUAGAAGUUUUGGCGUACUCAAUUUCUUCGCCAUUACCUCAGCAUCAAUUUUCUUUUCCAGACAUCAAGUAGAUGAUGCAAAUUUGAACUUUUGUUAUACUAUUUUAAGUGCAUAAUUCUAUAGAAUUAUUAAACUGAAGGGAGAGACUCUUCAAAUCUGAUUUUUCAUUUGUAAACUAUCUUGUUUCUAGAAGAAAAAAAUUUGUCUUCAACUGAGGCAACGUUGUCGUUGGUAUUGUAAUUUAAAGUACUGGCAAAAUCCCUUCCAAACAAAUUGGAAGCAAGAUCAUUUGUUCAAAUAUGUCAUUUGAGCUAAUAUUAAUGUUAAUGAUUAAAGGAAAUGAACUGAAAUUUGAGGGCAUCUUAUCAUUUCCAAGAUCUUUUUCAUAUAUGCUUAUGUAAGAAAAUCAAAUAACAAUAACCCAAUGCAAAAUGACACCGUAAAAAAGGAUCGGGAGGUCAAAACCUGCUGAAAAGAAUCCUAUUCAGCUUCAUCGGAAUUCAUAUCAGAGUGAAAGAAUCAAGAACCAUGGAGUAACAGCCAAAAGAUCCGCUAAAAAACUACUCUUAUUUCACGGGGUUUGAGGUGCAUCUUCCUGAAAUGUGCCUUUUUAAUCAGCGACCUCCCAAAAAAGUCAGUGACUUGUCGCCAGCUUGACAGCUUGUGGUCGUGGGGUAAAAGAUUCUGAAACGCCGACGGUUCGCUGAGUCAGCAUGUGAGAGAAGAUCCAAAUUUCCAAAUGGAUAAGCCAUUGGAAGCAAUUUGUUAAACCAAUCGAGCUAACCCUGGUUAACCAAUUAUCUAUAAAUAUCCUUACCCAUCUGGCUACUUCUCCAACACAAAGUAAAC
rnacentral:lncRNA from 1 species